rnacentral:rRNA from 1 species
CCAGAGAACUUAGCAGAGAUGCUUUGUGCCUUCGGGAACUCUGAGACAGGUGCUGCAUGGCUGUCGUCAGCUCGUGUUGUGAAAUGUUGGGUUAAGUCCCGCAACGAGCGCAACCCUUAUCCUUUGUUGCCAGCGGCUCGGCCGGGAACUCAAAGGAGACUGCCGGUGAUAAACCGGAGGAAGGUGGGGAUGACGUCAAGUCAUCAUGGCCCUUACGGCCAGGGCUACACACGUGCUACAAUGGCGCAUACAAAGAGAAGCGACCUCGCGAGAGCAAGCGGACCUCAUAAAGUGCGUCGUAGUCCGGAUUGGAGUCUGCAACUCGACUCCAUGAAGUCGGAAUCGCUAGUAAUCGUAGAUCAGAAUGCUACGGUGAAUACGUUCCCGGGCCUUGUACACACCGCCCGUCACACCAUGGGAGUGGGUUGCAAAAGAAGUAGGUAGCUUAACCUUCGGGAGGGCGCUUACCACUUUGUGAUUCAUGACUGGGGUGAAGUCGUAACAAGGUAAGCGUAGCGAG